rnacentral:lncRNA from 1 species
CUUGCCCAUCAAAGCAGACGGUAUGGAGAGGAAGUUCACCCUGGCUUCCUUUGCACUACCCCUGUGACCUAAGUAUGUCUCCAUUGUUGUGUAUCCUCUCCUGAGCUGGCCUGCUCUAGAUCCAGCACUUGACCUUCCUGAAGCAGGGAACAGCCUGUGUCUCCAGGCAGACCCUGUGGCCAGGCUCUGUGUUGCAUCCUCAUUACCGUCAUCUCUGCAGGCUGCGGGACCUCAUCGCUCUGCCUGAAUAUUCCUUUCCCUCU